ACUUCUAUACGCUAUGGAGGGACGAUUUGGGUGACAUCUGAGACGCAGCCGCACAUCAAGCGUCCGGGCUCCAGGGACAUGGCGGCGGCCUCUGUGGUGUCGGUGCUGCUGGUGACGACUGAGAGGAACCAGUGGAAGCCAGUCCAGAGCCCGCUGCUGCUGCUGCUGCCGCUGCCGAGGCAACGAUCCAAAAGGUAGUUCUGGCACUUGGAUACUACUACCUUGGAGCAACUUGUCAUGCCUGCAUUGUGUGGAACCAGUGUUCAAAAUAAAAUGCAAAAACUUCAGGCUGGUGGAGGAGGGAGCACACAACGUCCUGGUACUCCAGGGAGACCAUUUGAUAUGUUAAAUAGAAUAUAUCAUUGUUGUGUUGCUUUCUGCCUUAAUGCCAAUUGAUAUGCUGAAGACCUCAAAAAGUUCCUGAGAAAUCCAUUUCAAAUUCUAGUGAAGAAAGAAGAACUGACCUUUGAAAAGGUCAAUAUCUUAUAAUAACUUUGAAAGAGGGCGGUGACAGAAAGAAAGAGGCAUUACCAAGAGGGAAUUCAAAUAAGGGACUGAUUACUACUGACUUACUGAAUUGGCAGCAGGAGUCAAUUUGGGAGGAAGGCUGUGGCCAUAAACAUUGAAGAAGACAAGAAGAUUCCUUGUGACACUGAGCCUUUCUGCCAUACUACACUGGAGGAAAUGCCAAUGAAUGUGGCUGACCUAAUUUAAUUCCUGGGAUGAAAUGGUUUUGAAUGUAGUGCUUGCUGUUGGUGAAUAGGCAAUCACAAGGUGCACUGUGCUUCUUUUGGGGGAAAUAUUUGAAGCUUUGUCUCAAUGCUCAUAGCAGAUCAAAAAUAUAGAUUUUGAUAGCAAAGCAACUUCAGCCAUGAGCUCAUGUGAGGAAAGUCAUUGGCUUUAUCCUCUUUAGAAUUAGACUGUUGGGGUGGCUAUAAAAGAUGGGCUUGUACCCAAUUGAAAAAUGGGCAGAAGACCUAAAUAUACAUUUCUCCAAAGAAGACAUACAGAUGGCCAACAGGCA